GCUCAGUAAUACUCACUUUAUUUUAUGUAAAUUUUUAAUUAACUACGUUAAAGUGUAGAUAAGAUGUUUACAGUAAGAGUGAGACCUAUCAGCUAGUUGUUAAGGUAAUGGCUUAACAAGGCUGUGACGGGUAACGGUAUUACUUUGUAAUAUUCCGGAGAAGGAGCCUGAGAGACGGCUACUAAGUCUAAGGAUUGCAGCAGGGGCGAAACUUGACCUAUGGAUUUUAUCUGAGGCAGUUAUGGGAAGUAAUAUUAUAUUGUUUCAUAUUUUAAAAGUAUAUGAGGUGAUUAAUUGGAGGGCAAAUCAAGUGCCAGCAGCCGCGGUAAUACUUGUUCCAAGAGUGUGUAUGAUGAUUGAUGCAGUUAAAAAGUCCGUAGUUUAUUUUUUUAAAAAGCAA
rnacentral:rRNA from 1 species